rnacentral:lncRNA from 1 species
CACUCUCAUAAAGCAUCUCUGUGAAAACUCCUUGCAGGAGUACUGGACCAAAACGUGGCUGAACCAUAAGAAAAGGCAAUCAGACAUCACCCCUCCAAGGGUCUUCACUACGAGGCCGAAAGCGCAGCUACAAGGAGUCAAGAAAUAGAACUUCAUUCUGGGUUAUUGUCAACAGCAAGAACACUUUCCCACUGCCUCCAUGGCCCUCAGCCAGACCUCCCAGAGCACCC